UCCGUGAGUCACGGAUGUCGAGUCCCCGGAAAAGAACGCUGUUUAGGCGCGGCCUAACCACCUAAGUGAGGGCACUGAAGCUGCCUGGGAAGGGCAAGGCCCGCAUCGCAGAGCUGGGCUCGGGGGCACUGGAUUUGUUUGGGUUAGCAGAGACUAUAAAAAAGCAAAAACUGGUGAGGAUAGAGACCAAUGCUGGCAGGAAUACAGGGAAAGGAAAAAUCUCAAGCUCAGUUGCUGAAGAAAUAAGGAAAGGGAGGCCUAAAGGUUAGAGACUUGCCCUAAGUCUGUUAGCUCAAAAAUAGAAGAGCUGGGAUUCAAAUC